CACUGGCAUUGACCAUUUUAACCGUCUGAGAUGCAUUCAGGAUCCAAAGGCCUCCUGAAAAAGAACAGUUUUGAACAGACCUCUUAAACUCAGUAGAGAGAGUGUCUGCCUAGCUUCUUGUGGCAGGACGUUCCACUGAAGGCACAGCUCCUUGUUGACACAAGACAUGCUUGUGGUCCAUAGAGAAGCACUAAUCAUGCUCCCCUAGUGAUCUCAGGGAUACCUUAGGCUAUCUCUGAGGUAUCCUGGGCGUAAAGUUUUCAGGGAUUUGUACACAAGUGCAAGAACUUUGAACCAAGCCUGUAGCUGAUGCAAAGUCAGUGGAGGUCUUUUAACAGUGAUGACAUGUGUUUGUGAUGUUUGUGGUGGUCAUUAUGUUUCAGGGCCUGAGACAUUUUGGCAUGUGAGGUGUCCCCCCAAAUAGCUCCCCCAUUUCCAUCAGGGAAGAAUGGGUGGAGGAAGACCUGCAUCAGGGACAAGGGUACAAGGAGGGAAGAAAUGUUGACAGCUGCUGCCUCAGUACAUCCUGCCGCCUGAGGCAGUCACCUCACCUUGCCUCAUGAGUGGACCGGCGCUGUUCUAUCUUUGUGAACACUUUCAGCUGGGGAAGGAUAGAUUUCCUUAUUGCAUUGUGGGUAGACGAACGCUUUAAAUUUUUACAUUUGGCUUUAUUGCAUCUGGUUGAGAUUUAUGGCAUUUUUCAAUUACUACCUCCUGGGGGGCAAAAAACAUGUGAUGCAAAAUUAGAAAGCGCAUCAGGAUGUGUACCUAUAUAAUAAUGAAGUAAAUGAAAAUCAACAUACAGACACUCCCACUUAUUAGCCUUAGGAAGCAGGUUUUCCUUUGCUCCUCAGACAAACCUAACUUACAGAGGUGGGGAGAAAACAGAGUUGGGGAUCUUCCUGGACAAUGAAAGCUUAGAUCAAAACUAUGUUCUGCACAUCCCAAUCCCAAAGUGGGGAGAGACUCCUGUGAUUCAUGUGCUUACCCAGAAUUCAGUUUCCUUGGACUGAGGGGUACUGAACACUGUGCUGUACUGUAUAUACAACCUUAGCAUAGGAUGGGGGAACACAAAACAUUAACACUCCAAGAGAUCUUGCUCCCCCAUUGAGUUUACUGGGAAGCCCCCAACUCAGCUUUGUGUCCUGCACAGAGCAAGACAGAGAAUGAGAGAGAGACAGAGAGAUCCACUUCUUCAGUGCCAUUCAUAAUCUUGUAAACUUCCAAAAUGUCCAUUUUUUUAUUACUGAAUUCAAAAGUCACAAACAUGUUAGACCUUUGUUACAAAAUUAUCAAAUAACUGUGUCGUUUAGUGGCAGAUCAGCCCACCAUUCAUCAUUUGUGAGAAGGGAUUGUGGAGAGAGAGAGACAGAGAGACCCAAGGAUCUAUGCCUUAGUCUAAGGUUUUUAUUUCAACAAUAACAAUACAAGAUAAAUAAAGUUCCAACUCUACGAUUCUAUGAUUCUAUGGUUCUUUUUAAUAAGUUUGAAUUUUAAAAUUACAUUCUUAAUUACUCAUGCACACUGAAGCAAACACACUGGUCUGGCCAUGGAAAUCCCUCGAGAUUAGAUUAAGUAAGUCAUGUUGGUCAAUACUAAAUAGCAAUACUUUCGCAAACCCCAAAUGUUUGCAUUGUUCUUACAGCAACUCCUUACUGAUUUUAUGACAAACCAACUUUAAGCAAGCAUUUUCUAAUUUGACCUUCUGGGUGUUGACAUAAAAAGAGCCUUGCUGGAUCCAGACCAAAGGUCAAUUUAUAGUUGUGUCCACAAUGGUCAGCUAGAUGCUGCCUGGAAGCCCCCAAACAAUAAGGUGGCAAUAUAAGGCUAUGAGGUUUACAUGAUGACCACCGUAAAACAAUUAAAUUGUUCAUCCAGUAAAUCUCUCAGGGACAAGCAACAGAAGAUGCAAAAUAAGUCCAUUUGUUAGUUGCUUUAUCUUGCCCAGGGCAACACUCGCAGUAGCUUUAUCCAUACCCGUAUCAGAUUAUUUCAUAUCCAUUUCACCAUGGCCUCCUAGGUCUCUUACAAAUAAUCAGAAUCAAAUUGCAUUUCAGUUGUCCCUUGCAAAAAGUCCUCCUUUUUGUUCAACAUCAGUUUGAACCUAAUAAAAUCCGUUGGAAGUUCUACAGCACUGGUACAUGCAUCCAUUCAACUUAAUACAAUUAAUGGGAAGAUUACAUCAUUAUGUCCCCCAAUAUCCUCUAUGUGAGAUGAGGGGAUGAGUACAAUGGUACCUCGGGUUAAUAACUUAAUUCGUUCUGUAGGUCUGUUCUUAACCUGAAACUGUUCUUAACCUGAAGCACCACUUCCCGCUAAUGGGGCUUCCCUCUGCCGCCACGCCACUACUGCGCGAUUUCUGUACAUCAAAGCACAAGGAUCGGAGCCCAUUUGAGAAAUUUAUCUUUCCUCAUCCUGCUGUAACUGAUCCCUGGAGCCCAAGCAGUAAAUCCAAUCCAAAAAUGCUUGCCAGUUCCCAGGGUGAUAAUAAGCAGGGAGGAAGAUUAGUACAAACCAAUACCUAUCUCCUCAAGAUACAAACGUCUUCCUCAUAGAUUUCCCUACAAUGGUGGUGCGGUGGAUGGAGAGACCUCAUAUUACUUAUUUGUUUAUGUAGUAAAGUUUAUUUUUUUAAAAAAAUAAAUUUUAUUUACAGUUUUCAAUAUUACAAUUUCCAAAACCACAUUCACAUGAAAAUAAGCAUUUCCCCCAUUCAUAUCUUUCUUUAAAAUGAAACAAUUUAUAUACCGCUUGACUGUAGAAAAAGCCUCAAGGCAGUUUACGAAAAAGAUAAAAUACAGUGGUACCUCUGGUUACAUACUUAAUUCGUUCCGGAGGUCCAUUCUUAACCUGAAACUGUUCUUAACCUGAAGCACCACUUUAGCUAAUGGGGCUCCUGCUGCCGCCACGCUGCCACCGCACGAUUUCUGUUCUCAUCCUGAAGCAAAGUUCUUAACCCGAGGUACUAUUUCUGGGUUAGCGGAGUCUGUAACCUGAAGCGUCUGUAACCCGAGGUACCACUGUAUUCCAAAUAUGGCAACAGCAUACAUGUAUAAAAAUGCAUUCAGGUAUUAUUAUUAUUUAUUAAAACUCUGUAUCACCCUUCAUCCUAAGAUCACAGGACAGUUCACUUUAUAAAAAACAAAAAACAAACAUGACAUACCAACAAACAAAGAAAAUACCCACCCCAUUUUAAAAGGCUACAGAUUGUUUAAUUAGCCAAAGGUUUAGGAGCAGAGCACUUAAUUCAGAUCUCUUUUAUGCAUGGAUUUUACAGACCUGGGAUUCAACCCUUAUGGAAAAACUAACUGCAGUACAACAAGAAUAUCGUACCGAGGGGAGGAAUCUUCUUUUCUUACGAAAUGGUUUGAUUUUAUUGAAUAUGCACAAUCCACUGAACAUGCUUUCUGUCCACCAGCAUCACAUGGAAUAUCAUGGAACGAUUCAUUUGUUUGACCACAACACUAGAAAAUGGUAUAUAUUCUAAGUUCCGCUAAUGCUAUAUUUUUGUUCCUGGAAGACUCUGCACUCUGAGAAGGGGAGUGGGAGGGUUUCUUGUGACUGUUAUCUUCGUUUAUCAUCUGAAAAGAAUCAAUAAAUGUGUCUUUUAGUUCCAAUGUAGGUGGAGCGGUGUGUAGUUUCUCAUUAACCCAUAGCCUCUUCUAUCCUAUAUAAACAGCAACUGUUCAUACAUGUCCCUCAUUCUCCACCAAGAGAAGCAGUUGCCACCUACUACAAAACUUUCUGUGUGAAUACCACGAAUACUGGUAAGUCUUGGAGGGAUACUGGGCAGGAGCGAAGAGAAACUACUUUAGAAUUUGGGGCAUAAGGGAGAGAGUACUUUUUUGUGGACCUGCACUCUAACUACCUCUUUAUAAUUAUAAAGGAUAUAACCAUAAACUCUAAGGUUUUUAUUUCAGCAAUAAUAGUACAAGUUAAAUGAAGUUCCUUUUAAUAAUCCAACAACCAGUCUACUAAAACAGACCAUGUAUUCUAGCAAAAAACCUUGAAUCUAAAAAUGACAUUAAUGCAUAUUCAAGCAGAAUCUCUCUCUGCACAGCUGAAGCAAAAUCCCAGGGUGUUCCAGGUGGUGCUUCUUUGUGGACCUGUAGUUUAACUACUGCCAAUGAUAUUCCCUGUGUGAUAUUGAAGUGACAUGGAGCCUUCCCCAGUGGCAGAGGAAGGGGGUGGGCCCCCCCGGGUGCCAUCUCUGAGGAAGUGUGACAAGAGUGUUCGCCACUGAGUGUUUCUGAAUAGCAAUGAGUAGGGCUUCGUGAGUCACCAGGAGACAAUGGCUAUCUCAAUGCUUUGUGAAAAUUUAUUUCAUAAGGGAGUUUUGCAUUGUGUGGAAAUGUAUGUUCUUUUGCCUAUCACUGACUCUGCUGUCAGGUUAUUUUAAUAGGACCUCUUGAGCUCUAGAGUUAUGGCAGCAGAAGAGGGAGAGAGGAAUAGCCACUUCUUUAGUGUCAUGCAUAAUCUUAUAAACUUCUGUUAUGCCCCUAUUUUUAUAUUCCUGAAUCAAAAACACCCAAAUGGUGGGGUUUAGUGGCUGAUCAGACUACCAACCCUUCUUGUGUAGGGUGAGGAAGAGAUUCCUGAAUCAAUAAAGAAUUGGGAAAUCUCUUCUCUUCCCCCACAGCCCCCAUAGAUGUGUACUUCCAUCCUCUCCUAGCUCUGAACCUCAACAGUCUGGUACUAUAAUACUAUUGCUGCAGUUCCUGUACUGAGGUUGAGGGUAGGCAAGUAAGUUUAUCUGCCCCUUCCAGUGCUGUAUGGGUGAAAGGAUGGUGUCAGUUUAUGCACACAAUGAGAUUUUGCUCCUCUUUCCAAGAUAUUCUGAGCUGUUAGGCAGUCUCUUCCCAUCACAGCUGAGAUAGGAAUUAAUUAGAACAGCAGUUACCAGCAUAGCACUCAUGAGUACCUGGGUGCCCUCGUAUGGUGCCCACAAAAGGUCUCGGUAAAUAUCCCCUCAAAAUCAACUGGCUCAGCCUCUCCAUUUAAUGGGGCUUCAGUAUUGAAGGCCCACUCUCUCAUAUGUUCUGAACAAGGAAGAGGUGCAAAGAGCUUCUCUUUGUGAGCAAGCACAGCAGUGAUGGAUAUAGGUGUUUUAGCCACACUGAACCUUCAAACUAGCAUUGAUUUUUUGCAAAAUCUGGAUCUUUCCUUUCCUAAACAGCCAUUCCCUAAAAUCACAAGGCAAACUGCUUUUAAAAGUGAUCAGCCUGUUAAACGCAAUUUAUAUUCCUUGGAAGGGGUGGGUUGGUCUCUUAUCAAAUGGAGAGAGAAAUAGAUAGAGAAAUAUGUCUUGACAAGCAGUAGAUGUUUGGUUCGUCUUUCAAAGCACCUCACAAUUAAUUAGUAAUCAUUUACCUUUAGCAUCAUAUUUGGCACUGGCAGGUAUAUUGUGUUAAGGCAAUGAGACUGUUUUCCAAGAG
rnacentral:lncRNA from 1 species